rnacentral:lncRNA from 1 species
UUUUUUUUUUUUUACCCUGUUUCUUUAAGUUAGCAUUUUGAAAUAAAAAAAUUAAGCACUAAAACUAGAAUGUCACUUUUUUUCUAGAGUAUGAAUCUGACUGUAAUCCACCUACCAAUUAAAUGCUUGAAGGGCAGCUGGUGAUCUCGGAGAUUCAGGUGUGCAAUAUGCCCAACCCUGCUGAAUCCAGAGGUUACAUCUUGACCUUCAGGAAGCACAGCUUUCAAAAUUUCUUCUGACUUAAAAUUUUCAUAUGUUAGUUCCAAGUUGUACUGGGAUAACUGUGGGCUGACAUCAAGUUCUUUUAAAACUCCGAGUUCUGCUUUGUCAAAGGAAUCAGCAGUAAGCAUCCUGUAGGGGUCCAACAUGAUCAGCCUACUGUCUUCAUCCUUGGGAUCCUCAAUCACUCGCUUUAUGCCCGGGCGCUGCAGGGCUACUCUCCUGAGGGCUCGCAUCAAUCUGUUGACUACUUCUUUCCUCGCUUUAAGCACAGGGAUGGACACUGUCUUCUUAAAAGCUGUUCUAUCAAGUUCUCUCAUUCCUCGAACGUCAGAGGGUGGUGAAAAUAAUUCACUAUCUCUCACACUUGCUUCUAUUUCUGGCAUGGUUGAGAGUCCUUGUCUUUGACCCAACAAGAAAACAGAAGGCGCUUUCCUAAGUCUCGGCACCAGGGUAAACAACAAUAUUGAUUCACUGGGGUGACACCAUUCCACUUGCAAAAGUCUUCUUGAGAAUCCAAAUAGCUUCCAUACGAUUCUGGGGAAAAUAACAAAACAAAACACCAAACACCAUCAAGCUACAUGUGAACACAUUCACAAUGGCUUUUGAGGAUGAAAAUAUAAAUUAUCUUUCAAGUCACCUGCCAAGUGCUGACAAAAGGUUUGGAUGGCAAGGGAGGGCAGUCUCUCUUGCAGGUUAGAAUGAUCACUGUCCCUGGUAAAUAAUACAUUUGCAUUUUCAGUCUAUUUGCCCCUAUAACAGAAAAAUUAGUGGUCUAGCAAUCUCCCUAUACCCAAAGAACUCUGCUCACAAAUUUCGACAGAAUACACAUAGAAUAGGAAGUAUGAAAUUUGAGUUAAGGGUCAUCUCUAAAUGAAAUGAUCACUAUAUGUGAUGCCACCAAUGGUAAUACUUACUGGGAUAUUCUUAGGAGAUCUUAUUUUAUUUAUUCAACGGGCUGUUGUAUCAGAAGCUGUGUUAUGAAGUUUGUAAGCUAAGGGGUAAGUUAAUCACCCAAAGUUAUGUGGCUGCUAAGUGGCUUGGCAAGGCUUAAACGUUCAUUAAGGUCUUAAAAUGUAGCUCACUGGUAGAAAGCUUGCCUAGCACGCAUGAGGUCCUGGGGUCAUCCCUAACAGCACAUAAUAUCAGGCAUGGUGGUGCCUACCUGUAAUCUCAGCAUGAGGAAAUAGGAGGAUUAAAAGUUCAAGGCCAGCCUGGGAUGCAUUUGAGACCAGACCUCAAAAACAAACAAACAAAC